rnacentral:rRNA from 1 species
UACGGAGGGUGCAAGCGUUGUUCGGAAUUACUGGGCGUAAAGAGUGCGUAGGCGGCUUAGCAAGUUGGAAGUGAAAUCCCGGGGCUCAACCUCGGAAUUGCUUUCAAAACUGCUAAUCUAGAGUAUGGUAGGGGACAGUGGAAUUCCUAGUGUAGGAGUGAAAUCCGUAGAUAUUAGGAGGAACACCAGAGGCGAAGGCGACUGUCUGGGCCAUUACUGACGCUAAGGUACGAAAGCGUGGGGAGCAAACAGG